rnacentral:rRNA from 1 species
UACAGAGGUGGCAAGCGUUGUUCGGAAUUACUGGGCGUAAAGGGCGCGUAGGCGGUCAUGUAAGUCCUGUGUGAAAUCCCCCGGCUCAACUGGGGAAUUGCACGGGAAACUGCGGGGCUUGAGUUCGGGAGAGGGAAGCGGAAUUCCGGGUGUAGCGGUGAAAUGCGUAGAUAUCCGGAGGAACACCGGUGGCGAAGGCGGCUUCCUGGACCGACACUGACGCUGAGGCGCGAAAGCUAGGGGAGCAAACGGG